AGCUUUGUGCAAUGGCAAUAUCGUAGCCAGUGAGAUUUAUCCAAGACGUGAUUAUUGUUACUUGAAAAAAAAAAAAAUCCAAUUAGAAUCCAAGGAAAAGACAUGAAGACAACAUACAGAUGU
rnacentral:snRNA from 1 species